rnacentral:lncRNA from 1 species
CAACAAUGGGUCAGCGACGGACAACACAGUGCAGACUGAGGGGUCAGGGCACGCUUCAUGGAAGAGUGCCAGGCGAGGUGUCCGGCGAGGUGUCACAGCCCUGGCAGUAGAGAGUGGUUCGCUCAUGGGUAGCAAGAAGAAUUUACCAACAACAGCAUAGGCUUGAAAUGGAAUAUCGUAUUAGAUGGAAAGAAACGCUGCAGCCGAGUGCAGAGGGGCAUCUCAGCAAGAGAGGACUAAGUGCACUGCGGUGGAUUGUCCUUCGUGUCUCUCUUCUUAGAGGCAGACUCACUUGGCCUGAGCUUGUCCUUGUGAAAUGGCCUGAGGUUCCCUGGACACUUGUGCAGCGGCAUGGUCCUUCUUCAUGCCCUUCCUUCCAUAAGUCACUCUCGAGCCAGACAGCGAGCCAGACAGUGGGUUUAAACCUGAGCUGCACCUCAUGCUGGCUGGGUUUCCUUUGUGCUGAACACAUCUGCCUUCCCAGUAGACACUGACCGAGCCUCUGAAGAACAAGUUUUUCCCUUCUUGUGUCCCAGGCUUGCUGAAGGGCGUGGCAUUUAAAUGUCUGUAUUUACUUGAAUCGCACAUUAUUGAAUCGGAUAAAACUGAAAGAUUUUCAGGAGAAGACAAUGUCUAACUAUUGACAGACAAACUUGUACGUCUACUUGCAACUACCCACACCUGGGAGCUCGUUAAGAGCACCAAACCUUGGGUUCCAUCCCAAAACUACUGGAUCAAAAUCUGCAUAUUUAACAAGAUCUCCAGGUAAUUCAAGUGAAUAUUAAAGCUUGAGAAGCACUUAUUAUGCUCAGUGUUCUGCAUCUCCAGACCGGGGAAGAAAUACGUUCUAGUUCCCCUGGUAGAGCCACUGCCUGUCUCAAUGUUACAAGGGUAGGAGACAGAAAGAAGGGAUGGGCAGUGUGGGGAAAAGAUUAAGAGCAACUUGGAGACCUGGUUUUGGGUCUCAGAUAGGUGUGGAAUUGAGCUCAAUUUCUGUUACUUAUUAGUUUUGAAUAUUGGGCCUGUGAGCUUAACAUUCCUGUUCUGUAUAGUGGGGAUAGUCAUAGCAUCUAACUCAAUGUGGUGCCAUGAGGGUUCAAUAAUACGACACAUACAUCAGAAUCUUGAAGAAUCCUGUGUGAAUAAUAUACCUUCCAGGGCCUGACUCUAGAACUUCCAAUCAGAAUCUUUGAGAUGGUCCAGAAACGCACGUUUUUAAUGAGUUCUCCUCCAUGUAAAGUUCACAUCAGUGCUGAAGAGAUUCUGCAGCCAUAAAGGUGGAUGUUUCCAUGAGUGUUUGGGACACCAACUCAUCCUCAUUAGACAUUAGAUCCAUGCUGGGAAUCCUCAGGUCAGCAAUUUGAACCAGCCCCAGAUCCACCGAAGCUGCAGUCGGAAGAACAAGACACAGAGAAGGAGUGGCAAGAACAAGAAAGCUUCCGAGAGUGCAAGCGUUUUUUUUUUCUUUAUCGGAUUCGACGCUCUGGAGAAAAUUAAACAGUGGAUGUUGGCAGCUUCUCCAAAUAAGGCAUGAAUCAAGAAUGUACUCUCAACGUGAAAUAGCAAGCCAAAGAUUGAUUAUAUCUACUUAAGUCUAUGAUAAAAAUGGACACCAGCUUGCCAAAUUAUUUCAGCUGCCAAGAACACCAACCACCAAAGUAUCAGGACAGAUGGAUUUCACCAAAGCCUUGAUAUAAUCUGAGGAAAAGAAACUCAGGGAAAAUGUGCUGAUCCAUCAUUUAAGGGGCAAAGGUAUCCUCCUGUACUGGUGUUUGUUGGUAAAUGUUGAAACCAAUUAUGUGUUAAUAAUCAUGUUUUAGUUUCUCUUUUAAGUUUCAUUUUCUAUGUACCACAUUGAAUAAUACUCAGAUGAAGUUAGAUUAUAAUUUCUUUUCAGCUCAAGAAAAGUAAGCAAAUGUAUAGUCAGGGCUAUUUUAACUGGAAAAAAAAAACCUACUACUGACAGUGUCUUACAAGAAAGAUGUUUAAUUUUUUAUGUUAUAAAAAAUGUGGAGGCACAUGUUUUAUGUAUGUCAGCAGUCAAAUGGUGACAGGACCUUGGAUAAACAUCUGGGUUCUCUAGGAUCCCACCUAAUGUUUGCAAGAAGAUUGUAAGUAUAUUCUCCUAUAGCAGCAUCUAAAGAAGAGAAGAUGGAGCUAAUUCUCAUAUCAGUAUUUUCUUAAAUGAAUAAUCUUAACCCAAAACACUGCUAGAUAAAUUCAUUUUGCUCCUCAUUGGCUGGAUUGGGUCAUAUGGUCACCUAUAGCUACAGAGAGGAUGAGAGAGUGAGUACCUGAAACAGUGAUUGGAAUAAACCUAACCAUGAUCUACUGCUAGAGAGGUGGCACUUAGACAGAGUGAUGAUGCCUAAACUUCUAGAAGUAGAGUUAUCUGGCUCCUCUAAGACCUAGACUAACUGUAGGUCAUUGAUAAGCCAAACAUCUGAUUAAGAAUCACAUUGGAAGACUUCUCAUCAUUUUUGUCUUUGUAAAUAAAGGACCCCUAUCUAACUUUA